CAGCCGCCACGGUAAUACGUAGGUGGCAAGCGUUGUCCGGAAUUAUUGGGCGUAAAGGGCUCGCAGGCGGUUUCUUAAGUCUGAUGUGAAAGCCCCCGGCUCAACCGGGGAGGGUCAUUGGAAACUGGGAAACUUGAGUGCAGAAGAGGAGAGUGGAAUUCCACGUGUAGCGGUGAAAUGCGUAGAGAUGUGGAGGAGCACCAGUGGCGAAGGCGACUCUCUGGUCUGUAACUGACGCUGAGGAGCGAAAGCGUGGGGAGCGAACAGGAUUAGAUACCCGGGUAGUCCCUGUCUCUUAUAC
rnacentral:rRNA from 1 species